rnacentral:rRNA from 1 species
AGUGAACGCUGGCGGUAGGCCUAACACAUGCAAGUCGAACGGCAGCACAGUAAGAGCUUGCUCUUACGGGUGGCGAGUGGCGGACGGGUGAGGAAUACAUCGGAAUCUACUUUUUCGUGGGGGAUAACGUAGGGAAACUUACGCUAAUACAGCAUACGACCUACGGGUGAAAGCAGGGGAUCUUCGGACCUUGCGCGAAUGAAUGAGCCGAUGUCGGAUUAGCUAGUUGGCGGGGUAAAGGCCCAGCAAGGCGCCGAUCCGUAGCUGGUCUGAGAGGAUGAUCAGCCACACUGGAACUUAGACACGGUCCAGACUCCUACGAGAGGCAGCAGUGGGGAAUAUUGGACAGUGGGCGCAAGCCUGAUCCAGCCAUACCGCGUGGGUGAAGAAGGCCUUCGGGUUGUAAAGCCCUUUUGUUGGGAAAGAAAAGCAGCAGGUUAAUACCCCGCUGUUCUGACGGUACCCAAAGAAUAAGCACCGGCUAACUUCGUG